rnacentral:rRNA from 1 species
ACGCUCGACACCUACGGGGGCAGCAGUAGGGGAAUCUUCCACAAUGGACGCGAAGUCUGAUGGAGCAACGCCGCGUGAGUGAAGAAGGUCUUCGGAUCGUAAAACUCUGUUGUUAGAGAAGAACACGAGUGAGAGUAACUGUUCAUUCGAUGACGGUAUCUAACCAGCAAGUCACGGCUAACUACGUGCCAACAGCCGCGGUAAUCUGAGCGGGCUGGCAAGGC